rnacentral:lncRNA from 1 species
CCACUUGAUUUAAAGCCAAUUGGUCAUAUAAGAUCCAUCUUCUUAAGGUGGGCUUCAGUCUUCUACUGGCUCAACUACUUUGUCAGUGGAUCUGCCACAUUAUCCACAAAGUCUACUCUUUGCAUCUCGAUAUAUUUCUUCUCGAGGUAGUUAUGUAUGAUAUGAAACCAUCACUCGAUAUGCUUGGACUUCUGGUGAGAUCUGAGCUCCUUAGCGAGAGC